UACGGAGGAUCCGAGCGUUAUCCGGAUUUAUUGGGUUUAAAGGGUGCGCAGGCGGGGGAUUAAGUCGGCGGUGAAAUUUUGCAGCUCAACUGUAAAAGUGCCUUCGAAACUGGUUUCCUUGAGUGUAGAUGAAGUAGGCGGAAUUUGUGGUGUAGCGGUGAAAUGCAUAGAUAUCACGAGGAACUCCGAUUGCGAAGGCAGCUUACUAAGCUACUACUGACGCUCAGGCACGAAGGCGUGGGGAUCAAACAGGAUUAGAUACCUCGGUAGUCCCU
rnacentral:rRNA from 1 species